GGAGAGGGUGGGUGAUGGGUAUUGAGGAGGGCACCUUUUGGGAUGAGCACUGGGAGUCAUAUGUAAGUGAUUAGUAACUGGGUUCUACUCCUGAAGCCAAGACUACACUGUAUGUUAACUAACUUGAAUUUAAAUAAAAAAAAAA